CAGCGCAAAAAAAUGUUGUACGUAUUGGUCAAUAAUUACGAGGUACGUUUCAGAAACUUUUUAAACUAGGGAUAUACAUCAAGAACAGGGACGCAUAAAAUGUGUACAAGAAUAUAAAGAAACAGGAAAAACUUGAAACACACUACGCUUGCGGGUGAGUUCAUAAUAAAAUUAGUGUUGAAAAAAUUAAAUUAAAAUUUGUAAUAAUAUUGUAAUAAUUAAAAUUAUAUUUUUAUUAGAUUUAUUGCAUAAAUUUCUUUAUGUUAUUGUUAUUUUAUUAUAACAAUAAGUUAAUUUGCGUCACAUUUUUAAUAAAUUAAUGCCAAUACUUAUAGUAUUGUGUUAGUUUAUUAUUUUUUAUAUAUAAGUAAUUUACAAUUAUUAUUUAUAUUGCGGCCCUGUUGGUAGUCGUUUCAGUAUUUUUCAUCUCAAACGAUGCUAUAGCAUCUGACAAUUAUAGUUGUCUCACUACACUGUCAGUCGACGUUUUUGUAACAUUAAUGAUUCUUUACACUCUGUAGAUCGAUAGAGUUUGCCAAGACGUCGCGGAAGAAAUUAUCUUUCCUAGGAGUAUGUUUCUCAUGCGGAAAAACAUUAUGCUAUUGUUAGUCUCAACAUGGACAUCAUUGAGACAAAUAGAAAUGCAGAUUUUGAAUGGGCAACACGCUUAAAUCGCCUCGUACUGAACAUUAUUGGAAUUUGGCCAAGUGCUCAUAAAAAUGCCUACGAUAAAUUCUUGUCAAAUUUACACGUGACAUUUGUCAUUGUCAUUAUCUUUUUCGUUGGUGCAAUUCCUACAAUACAUUCACUAGUGAGAACUUGGGGUGAUCUGAUAUCAAUGAUAGACAAUCUACAAUUUUCUCUACCAUUAACAAUGUCAGUAAUAAAACUCAUCGACAUAUGGUGGAAGAAAACAGAUCUUCUAAUGGCCAUAAAUAUGAUUGCUGAAGACUGGAUAAAGGACAAAACCAAUAAAGAACGAUGCAUUAUGAUAAAGCAAGCACAAAACGCCAGAAUUAUCACAAUGGUCGCUUAUUCCUUUAUGUUCGUUGGCAGCAUUUUCGUUAUAAUUUUACCUUGUUUUGGAAAGUCUAUAAGAUAUAUUACAAACAUUACGGACCCAGUUAAAAUCUUACCUUUACAAGCUCAUUAUAUCUAUGACAAAAAUCAAAGUCCGUACUUCGAAAUUACAUUCGUUGCACAAUCUUUUGUUAUCUUGAUAUGUAUUGCGUCCUACACCGGUGUGGAUAACUUACUCGGAUUAUUGGUAUUUCAUUUGUGCGGACAACUAGAAAUUCUUAAAGAAAAGCUAAUUAAGAUAAAAUUGUUUAAGAAUUAUAACGAAGGCAUAGCCCUAAUCGUGAAGGAGCACAUACGGCUGAUCAAGUGUUUUCGCAUUAUCGAAAGUACAUAUACUUUACUGUUACUGGGACUACUAAUGUAUUUCGGCAUAAUAUUCUGUCUGUACGGAUUUCUAAUUCUAGCAAUACUUAUAGAAGGAAAAGGGAUGUCAAUGAUUCGCUUUAUAUACCUCGUUUCUAUUGCAUUAAAUGUUUGUAUACACAUGUGUCUUUUUUGUGCGGUUGGUGAGAUUUUAGUAACAAAAUGCGAAGCUCUACACCAGGCAGCUUACAAGCAUAAAUGGUACAAAUUGGAACCAGCAAAAACAAAGAAUUUGCUUCUAAUAAUGAUUCGAGCUAAGAAGCCUCUUUAUAUUACUGCUGGAAAAAUGUUUCCUAUGACAAUGUCGAUGUUUUGUAAUGUGAUAAAAACAUCUGCCGGUUAUGUUUCAGUUCUAUUCGCAAUGCAAAAAUAAAAAAAUCAAUUUUUAUAUUUUUAUUUAUUUAUCUGGGAAUAAGGCGUAAGUACAAUAUUGUUUUAAAUAUACAUAUAUUUAACAUAACAUUGUAAUUUAAUAAGUAUAUAAAAUUAAAAUUCAUAUUUUAUGAAAAAGUAUUUGUUCAGUCUUAGUAUAAACAGCUACAAACCUUUACAAAAUAGCAAUUGUUUUUUGUUUUAAUGUUUUUACUAAUACAAUUCUCUUUAAAUAUUUGAAUUACUUUUUUUAUUGAAUUAAGAUUUAUAACAUGAUACCAUUUAAUUCUUUAAAUACAUGUAAUGCCUAAAUUUUUUUCUAUAUUUCUGUUGACAUAAUCGUUUUUAGCAUAAUUUUACAAAGUAUACAUUACUUUAUUUAGCAAUAUACAAUUCUCUAUUAUCAAAUAUUUAAAGCUGUUUAUUAACUUUGAAUGUUUUAAGAAAUUUUAAAAACUUUCUAAUAUAUAUUAUAUUAGAAAUUACAAAUGUGUCGCUAAAUCAUACUCCUAUUGCAAAAAAACUUUGAUAUAUUGUAGAAGUUACAUGUUGACUACAAUAUUAAUAAAUACUGACAGGAUUGCAAGUUGUCCACAUUCAAUAACACAAAUGGAACGAAAAUCAGGAUCAAACAUAACUGUGAUUAAGAACAAAACAUUAAAAACUAUAAUAAGCAUAAAUCCGUGUUAAAUUAUCUUGGAUAUUAAACUGAAGAUUCAAUCACUGAGAUAAGUCAUUUUAAUUGUUUUUUUUUUUUUUUUUAAAUUAAUAGAAUUCUCUAAUUCGCAAUUUUCAAUCUUUAAUUUAUAUAGCUUACAGGUUUAAUUGAUGAUAGAUGAACAAGUUUAAGUACAACUAAGACAAAAUCGUGUUAAAAAGAUAGAAAAAGCUUUCUCUGAGCAACAUCAGGAUAUCAAAUUCUAGCUGGGAUAUAAAGUAACGAACGUUCUAUGCUUGUGUAUAUGUAGAACAUUUGUAGCAAAUCUUAGAUCGUCAUAUAUUCUUUAUUUAAAUAAAGACGCUUUAAUUUUAA